rnacentral:lncRNA from 1 species
AGUUUGCCAUGUGUAGAUCUUCAAAGGGUAAAAGUUACAUGGAGGAAUACGAUUUCACAAGGUGUUGUGAAGAUUUGUUGUGUGAGCACCGGGUGUAGGCCGGUGUUAGAAAGACAAAACAGGACGUUUAAGAUGAGCGAUCCGGCACCUGAGCACUGCCCUCCUGGGGAAUUUGUGAGGGAGAUUCUGCUUCCGACUCUGAUUCCUGAAGAUGCAAAGUUGGAAGCUUACAGGGACGAAACAGGAACUAUGCUUGAGAUAAUGGUGCCUAAGCAUCGUGUAGGACCUGAAGAACAUGAGGUUCAUGUUUGUCUUCGUUCAUCUCCAAGUGUUCUUAUGUUAACUUAAUGAAAACUGGAGUCGAUGUUUGAUGCUUCAUUGAUUUUUGCUGAUCUUUAUUUACCAAGUGGAAUCUAUGAAGUAAUGGGUUGUGUUUAUUUAUUACGUAGGUGUCUUUUUUUGUCGAUGCUUCCUUUAGUUUAUUGAACAAUUUCAAAGUGUGUUGUUAUUAUUACGGAUUGGUAGGUUUUAUUUAACUAUCAGUGUUUUAUUUUUAUUUUUUUUGUAUAUGAUAAGAUCAACGCCAAAAAAUGAAUGAGAGAUCUAUGAAGUAAUGGGUUGUGUUUAUUUAUUAUAUAGGUGUCUUUUUUUGUCGAUGUUUCCUUAAGUGUGUUAUUAUGAUUAUGGAUUGGCAGGUUUUAUUUAAGAAUCAGUGUUUUAUUUAUUUUGUAUGUGAUAAGAUCUACGCCAAAAUAAAAGAAAAAAAAAAUAAUAAUUGCUCUUUCAAAAAAAAAAAAAAAAAAAAAAAGCUGCGAUGAUUUUGCAGAGUUAAAAAUCGAAGUAAAUAAAAUUCGGGGCAUUCCGAGAAUUGAUGUGAAAAUGCUCUAUCAUCGCAUCUACCAAGUUGUAGUUUGUGGAUGGUUAGUUGUCAUCGUACUCCUUAAAUUUCAUGAAUCUCUUAGUGUUUAUUUAUUUAUUUAUUUUUGUUAAACUCGAGAACUAAGCCUUAGUGUUUAUGUGGGAAUAAAUACAUUACACAUCUCAAAUUUGAUUCAUUUAUCAUAAUUGUAUCAUAAUUUUAAAUGAUACUAGAAAUGAAAAUUGUUUUUACGAUAGGAGUCGGUUACCACAACAAGCAAAUUGAUUUAUACGUUUUUUACCUUCAUAUAACCUUUUACCUUUAACAAAUUUGGAAAAUUCAACUUAUAUAAAAUCAAAGUUUCUUACAAAUAGUUUAUCAAUUUGGAAAAUCAAAUUAUACAAAGUGAGAGUUCGGUUUUUGUUGAAACAUACAUUUGGUUUAAGAUUAAACAUAGUUUAUUAUUGGAAAAACGAAAUUCAAAUAAGCUUUUAUAGAGUACGCCAAAUACGGAGUCCGUAUGAAGAAAUUAUGCAAUUUUGAAAUUAUGAAAUUCGUCUCGCGCACGUGCGCGAUGCGCAUACAGCCAAAAACGGACACGUGUCAGCUACAGAGAGGGCCAACUAGGUUAGUGCGCGACAUGCAUCUGGUCUGGGCAUGACGCGUAUAUGACAAUUUGGCCUUAUAAAUAGUUGGUCACUCCUGAUCAUUCCUCACACCCUCCAUACAGUUCUCCCUCGAUUCGUUCUGGUUUUAACCCCAAGUUUUCCUUAGAAUUAGUAUCUCGACGAAGCUCUACAAUCCCUAACUGUCUGAAUAGUAGCAGCCAUCGAGUAGGAACUCUGCUAGUACAAUUUCCAAACUUUUGUUUAGGAAAUCUAUGUAAGUUAAAUUACACUAUAAUAUUUUAGUAUAGUUUAUAUUUAAAAUUCAUAGUCAUGGUUAUGAUUUAUAAAUAAGAUUUGUCAGUAGUUCCAAUGUCAUAUUACUAGUUGAUCUAAUUAUGGGGAUGAUGUCUAGACUAGAUUUAAUGAGGUGUUUAAAGUGAGAUUUCCAAACAGUAUAUAUUCUGUAUACCAAACAGACCAUACCUCUGAUAUGAUCCUACUUGGUUAUCUCUUAUCAGCUAUAGAUCAAUAGACAUUGAGAUUAUUGAGGAAUCUAUACUAUUAAUUAGUCAUAAGAGGUAGUAAAGUAAUAUUUAGAGAUAAUUGAACCUAUGUCAUAUCAAAGGAAAAGUCAUGUGCUGAAGCGAAGCGUUGUCCAAAUUUUCAGUCAUCCAUUUUAAAAAUUGAGUACAUAUUUACUUUCAUCUUACACAUACAUAUAAAGUAUUUUAAAACAAUUACAUGCUAUAUUUGCCUAUUAAAUAUGUUCCAGAUAUCUAUGCUAGAUGAACGAUUUAUACAUGUUUUACUUGAUUUAAACUGUAUAUGUAUUUUUAUACCUAUAAAUAUAUUGGUUAGAGAUGGAUGGAUGAAAUAUGAUAUAAAUGAUGAAAGAUGAAAGAUGAAGUAGACUAUGAAAGGCCUUGACUUUAAAGAUGAUAUAGUCGUCUAGUGGAAUAUAGAUGACGACCAUAGACUAUUCUAGAUAGUCCAGUGGAAUGCUAGCAGACUACCAACCUUGACUUUGGGUCCUAAUAUACCUUUUGAAGCUCGAUUUUUAAACCUCGUCAAUCUAUGGAUGAAAGAACAGGAAAAACUAUUUCAAAUUUCAUGAAUAUGAAUCUCAAUUUUCUGGUUAUGGUGUACUUUUUAAAACUUGAAAACCAAAUUAAAAAAAAAAAAAAAAAAAAAAAAAAAAAAAAAAAAAAAAAAACUGUUCCAACUGAAAUGUAAUUUGGUUGGAUCGGAUUGGAUUUGAAUCUAGUUUGAACUACUUGGAUCCAUGUUUUGAAAACCAAAAUCAAUUGGGAUUCACUUAACUGGAUCAAAUUGAAUUGAUCCAUCCAUACGGACAACCCUAUAUAUGACGGUCCGGGUGCAACGCCCCUAGGUACGUAGUUCCAAGCGGCAACGCCCUUAGUGGGAUCCAAGGGGCAGAUCUACAUGUAAGGGCGGUGGGUCCACCAAGGGCUCCAACCAUGCAUUUCUCGCCAAAAAUAAGUGGUGACAACACUAUAAUGUUAGAAUUGGUUAUGUUUUAUAACCAUUUGUUCAACCACCAAUUUUGGCGCCAAAUCUACAUGUAACCACCAAUAAGUACCUUUCUCUCUUUUAUAAGAACAUAUUUCAUGUUCCUGAAAAAGGGUUCCAAAAGAUAUACUCGAAAUCUGUUCAUUAAGAUUUUUCAUGUCUCUCAAAACAACACAUCAAACAAAGGUAUUAUUUGUUUCACAAUUCGAAUUAGGCAUGUAAUUUGAAUUGGUUUUGUUCUUAGAUUAUCACACUCUUGAGUUUGUGUGCCCUAGAAAAUAAGGACGGAUUACAGAUUUUGGAAAGUUUUUGGAAACACGAUCCUUGAAUCUAUCCAAGUCAUAUAUACUGUUAUUUUGAUUCCCUUAUUUUCUAACACUAGUUAUAUAUAAAAUAUAAUAGGGAAUAAUGAACCUAAAAUGAACUUAAUUUUAUACAUAGAAGUGCACACCAAUUAGGUUCUUACAACCAGUUUGAAGUAAAAUUGGGUUUGGUUUUGAAUCAGGUUGGGUUCUAAAAUGUAUGAACCAAUAUAACCAAAUUCAAACUGAUUCAAACCCAUAUUAAGAAAACUGGUUUGAAAAACCUAUUUUUUCAUCACUUUUGCCACAUUUGCUAGACUUUAUUUACGUGUUGUAGUUUAAUUAAACUUUCAUGGUUGAUCAUAAACAACAAUCAGAGGCUAUACUCUUAUAAACUACUCUUAAAUUUAUGUAUGUCACUGAAGAUACUUGAACCCUCAAACUCAAGAAGGGAGGGCAACACCUGAUACCUUUGAGCUAAAAGUUCUUUGUUGAAGAUGAGAUUGAAAAAGUAAGAUGCAUAGUUGUGUUUUUAAAUAUGGGUAAAAAAAAUUGGAUGCCAUAUUUAAUUAAACAACAUCUGGAUGCGUGAAUUUUCUUAUUUACGACUAUUUGCGCCACCAUAUCUUUGGUACUUAAUAAUAGUUUGGUACUUGGAAAGGAAGCACUGACAACACCAUAUUCGUAAAUGUAUACAGUCCUCAGACUCCAUUAGAGAAAAAAGAUACAUGACGUGAAUUACUUCAAAUCAAGCAAACAAAAAGAGGUAAAGGGCUCAUUUUUGUUGAUUUUAACGUUGUAAGGAGGAAGGAUGAGAGAUUCAUAUCUCAGUUUUGCUUAACCAACGCAUCAAAUUUUAAUCGCUUUAUAAGGCUAGCAGAGGUUCACGAAUUCAAUAUGGGUGGUGAAAGAUUCACAUUUAUGAGCAGAGUUGAUGCAAAGCUAAGCAAACUUAACCGAUUCCCAGCUUGUUCAAAUUUUUUUGGCUACUUUCCCCUCAAUAAUUGUUACGGCUUAGUUUUGGGAAUUAUCAGAUCACUUCCCAAUUACACUAAUCUCUACAGUGGAGACUUCGGACCUCCCUCAUUCAAAGAAAAAGGACGAGAUAAAGAAGUCGAGUCGGAGACAAAAUCGUACAAGAUGCUUGGGCUGGAUUUUCUGGGUAUGGCAACACUGAUUCAUACCUUGCAGCCAAAUUGCGUCACCUAAAGGAUGAGAUAAAGAAGUCGAGAAGUGACGAACACAAAAAGGAGAAACAAGAGAUAUUGGAAUUUAAAGAAAAAGUACAUAAUAUUGAAAAGGUUGCUGAAACACGGGCUCUCACCUCCAAUGAAGUAUCGUCUAGAGUAAUUGCCUUUAGAAGAUACUUAAACUUGAAAAAAUGGCAGUCAUUGACCUAAAACAGGAGGUGCAUUUGAAAUGGAAGGUAGAUGGGGAUGAAAAUUCAAAACUAUUCUAUGGAUAUGUAAACAAUAAUUACCUAUAAACAGAUUUGUAGGUCUAAUGAUAAACGGAAGAUGGCUUCAUAAGUGAAAGACAUGAAAGAUGAGGCUUUCUGGUUCUUCCAAAAAAAAUUAAGGAAGAAUGGAUUUCACAUCCAAAACUUGUAAAAUCUCAUAUCCAGUCUAUAUAUAUGAUGGAUGCUAUUAUAUUGGAGGCUCCAUUCUCUAUUGAUGAGGUGAAGAAAGCAGUAUGGGUAUGCAUAGGAGAUAAGUCCCUGAGCCAUGACGGGUUAACUUUUAAGUUCUUAAAAAAGUAUUGGAGUUGUGUCGCUGCAAAUCUCAUUAUAUUCGUAUAAUAUUUCUACGAAACUGGUACUCUAAGGCAGGGUUGUAAUUCCUUAUUUAUCAUUCUUGCACCCAAGGUUAAGGACACGACCUCUCUUUAUGACUACAUACCGAUCAUGUAACAUCCCAAAAUAACCGAGUAAAAAUUUCAUUUUAAAUAAGUUAAAGUCAUUCAUUCAUUUUUCCAAAAGACAUUCAGAGUCAAAGUAUUCUCAAAACAUUAGACUAAUUUGUAAACAUUCAUUACAGAAUAAACUCCAGGGGAUGCAGUGCCAUCAAGCCAGGCCCUUCCUUUUGAAAAUGGAAGUACCUAAAACCAUAAACAUAAAUUGUAAGCACAAAACUUAGUGAGUUCCCUAAAGUACCACAUACCAAACAUACAACUAUGGGACCUGCACUAGGGUAUACUUCAAUCCGAUAAUAUGAUACUUGUAAUGUCGAGGGCCAAAUCCCGGUCUUACAUACAAAUGCCAUGGGCCAACACCAUAGUCUUUCUGUAACACCCCGAUGUUCAGAAGAGCAAAGUUCAGGGUGCUUAGUGUAAAUAUGGAAGACCGACUCGGCGAGUCAAUGGAUAGACUCGGCGAGUCGGGUCGCGAAUCUGGUCAUGUGCUAAGUGACCAACUUGGCGAUUCGGAGGAGUGACUCGGUGAGUUGGUGCUGGGUGGAGAGAACCCUAAUUCUCGGGGUUGUGCCCUAUAUAAAGGACAUUAUAACCCACCCUCAGCCUCUUUGUUACCUUCCAAAACCCAGAGAACCCUAAAAUCGUGUAUAACCUCCAUUGUUGAAGAAUUAGAGCUUGGGAAGAGAAAUUGAGAAGAAAAAGGUUGAAGAUCAAGAGGCUAGCAUCUGGAUAUCAUUGUAGAUCAGGGAUCUACUCCUCCUUUGGAUCAUUUCUGAGGUAGCAAUCUGUUACCUUGAGUGUAACACCGAAAAUUUUAAAAUUUAUUUUUCACAAUUUAUAAAAACAUUUCUCUUUUAAUUUCAUAAAUCAUCAAAUUUCAAAUUCCAAUAUGUAUCAUACAAAUCCCAAGAUCACAUAAUUAUAUUGAAUUCCUCUACGUGUGUACAGAUCAAGCCGGCGCCUUCCCACGGUCAUCGCUAGUACCUGAAACAACAACACUAACACUGUAAGCACAAAGCUUAGUGAGUUCCCCAAAAUACCGCACAUAAAACACAUAUCAGCCACUCGAGGCCAUAACUCUAUGGGUCCGUGCACCCACACUCUGUGAACCCCAGGUUCUAACUCUAGGAACCUUCCGGUUCCAACUCUAUAAGCAUGCACAACAUAAAUCACAUAGACAUCAUGCAGUACAACACAUAGCAUACACAUAACAUACACAUACUCUAUCACAUGACUCUGGUUACCUACUCAAGGUAAAGUAUAGUGAGAAGACUCACCUCGCGUGUCUCGGUAUCUCACGAUCCCUGGAAAUCCCUCGUACUCGAUCCUCCGAGCUCUAAUCCUCCUAUAACAUCACAAGACUCUAAUUAACACUUUUAUCUCUAAGGUUGACUAUCCCUAAGAAGUCAACACAGGUCAACGGUCAACGGUCAACUUUGACCGGACUCGGCGAGUGCACGCGGCAACUCGGCGAGUCUAGACGUUCUCACCAACUCUCUAGGAUUCCCUUUCUACACGUCGAGUACUCCCCCUGACUCGACGAGUUCCACCUGGAAGAAUCGCGGGACCACCCCGACUCAACUCGCCGAGUCUCAAGAACGACUCGGCGAGUCCCAGCUCGACUCAGACCACAUGACAAUCCUCUCUAACUCGCCCUGACUCACUGGGUCAACUCCUGACUCGUCUGGACCACUCACUGGCCGGUCCAAGGCAAUCUUCAAGCUACUCGCCGAGUCUGCUCAUCGGACUCGGCGAGUCCAUUCCAUGCAAUCACUCAAACUUGCUUCUAAGGUCAGAUCUACUCCAACAAUUCAUAGAUCUGGCCCUCCUAGACUGAUUCAUCACGUAAAGUCCUAGUCUUGAUGCAUUAACAACCUCUAUAUGACUAAUUAUGAAGAAUCUUCAACAAAUCUCACUACACAAGGUCAUGACCUCCAUUGUUCUCUAUAAAGCUUGAAGAAUGAGACUCUCUGGACCUCUAUGGAUCCAGAUCCGAAGUCUCAUCACUAGCAUGGGACUAUUUGGCCAUCAAAUCAACUCAACAAGGCCACAAGAAACCCUAAAAUCGGUUAUACUUCACAAAACAGGAGAUGAGUCGAAAUUAUACCUUUAGAUUGAAGGGUCAAGCUUCCAAUCCACCAAAUAGCAGUCCCCUUUGCCUCCUCUUGGCUAGAGCCUCCUUCUUCUUUGCUAAACAACACACAAAUGUCAAGAAAUGCCUCCUUUCACUCUCAAAUCGCUAAAGCACUUUUAGGGUUUCUCUCUAUGGACUGAUGGAUGCAAAUGACGGCCAUAAGGCCAUUUAAAUAGGUCCCAAACCCGAGAAAUUAGGGUUUCAUUAAACAGCGUGGACUCGCCGAGUCCAUAUCCUGGACUCGCCGAGUCCGAACGAAUCCCGCGUCCAGAAUCGCGACCCUACUCGGCGAGUCUGAGCUCCAACUCGCCGAGUCCCUUCUCAAAACUCAAAAUAUUAAAACAAUAAAAUACCUGGAGAUCCGGGCUGUUACAAUUCUCCCCCACUAGGAUUAGACUUCGCCCUCGAAGUCUCGCUCUAAAAUAGCUCCGGAUGCUGAGCCCGCAUCUCGCGCUCCGGCUCCCAGGUCAUCUCUGAUCCCUUCCGGUGUUGCCACUGAACCAACACCAAAGGUACCUCCUUGUUCCUCAGAACCUUGAUCUUCCGAUCUCUGAUGGCUACUGGUCUCUCGGCGUAAUUCAGGCUCGCAUCUACCUGAAUAUCCUCUAAUGGAACUACUGCCGACUCAUCGGCAAUACAUUUCCUCAAUUGCGACACAUGAAAAGUGUCGUGGAUUUGCCCCAACUCUGCUGGCAAUUCCAAACGAUAGGCUACCCGGCCUACCCUCGCAAUCACGCGAAAUGGCCCAAUAUACCGGGGCCCCAACUUGCCCCUCUUCCUGAAUCGAAUCACCCCUUUCCAAGGAGAGACCUUCAGGAGAACGAAGUCACCGACCUGAAACUCAAGCUCGGACCGGCGUCUGUCUGCAUAACUCUUCUGUCGACUCUGGGCGGUCAACAACCUCUGUCUGACCUGCUGAAUCUGCUCUGUCGUCUGAAGCACGAUCUCGGUACUGCCCAUCACUCUCUGCCCGACCUCUCCCCAGCAAAUGGGGGUCCGACACCUCCUACCAUACAACAGCUCAAAGGGUGGCAUACCAAUGCUCGAAUGAUGGCUGUUGUUGUAGGAAAACUCUGCCAAGGGUAGAUACGCAUCCCAGCUACCCCCAAAAUCCAACACACAUGCUCGAAGCAUGUCCUCAAGCGUCUGAAUCGUCCGCUCACUCUGACCGUCUGUCUGGGGAUGAUAUGCGGUACUAAAAUGCAAUCUAGUACCCAACUCCUCAUGAAAUUUCUUCCAGAAUCUGGAAGUAAAGCGCACAUCACGGUCUGAAACAAUCGAGAUCGGCACCCCAUGCCGAGAUACCACUUCUCUCACAUAUAACUCUGCCAACUUCUCUGCUGAAGAACUCUCACUGAUGGCAAGGAAGUGAGCGCUCUUCGUCAACCUAUCCACAAUCACCCAAAUUGCAUCAACUCCCCUGGCAGUUCUCGGCAAUUUGGUGAUGAAAUCCAUAGUGAUCUGUUCCCAUUUCCAUUCGGGAACCUCCAAUGGCUGCAACUUGCCAUGCGGUCUCUGGUGCUCGGCCUUAACCCUACGGCAGGUCAAGCACCUCUCAACGAACCACGCGACGUCCCUCUUCAUACAGGGCCACCAAUACUCUCUCCUCAAAUCCAAAUACAUCUUCGUAGCCCCCGGAUGGAUCGAAAAUUUCGACCGAUGAGCCUCCUCCAUCAAGGAAGUGCGCGUACCACCCACGAACGGUACCCAAAUCCGACCCUGAAAAGUCAUAAGCCCUCGCCCAUCCGUAACGAAUUCUGAAACCAAACCAACGACCCGUUCCCUCUUCUGCAUCUCCGGCUGCACAGCCUCGGCCUGUGCCCCACGAAUGGCAUCCAAUACCGGAGCUAUCAUGGUCAAUCUCAAACAUACAUCUCGCAAUGGAGUGCUCUCCGCCCUGCGGCUCAACGCAUCGGCCACCACGUUGGCCUUGCCCGGGUGGUACAGGAUCUCACAAUCAUAAUCCUUGACCACAUCUAACCACCUCCUCUGACGCAUGUUUAGAUUGGGCUGAUCCAUCAAGUACUUCAAGCUCUUAUGGUCCGUGUAUAUCGUACAUCGAACCCCAUAUAAGUAGUGGCGCCAAAUCUUGAGGGCGAACACUACUGCCCCCAACUCUAGAUCAUGCGUGGGAUAUCUUGUCUCAUGAGGCUUCAGCUGCCUCGAUGCAUAUGCUAUCACAUGACCCCUCUGCAUCAACACCGCACCCAACCCCAAAAUCGAUGCAUCACAAUAUACUACAAAAUCCUCCAUCCCUUCCGGGAGAGCUAAUACCGGGGCUUCGCACAACCUCUGGCGAAGUGUCUCAAAGGAGGUCUGCUGCUCGGGACCCCAUGAGAAUGCAACACCCUUCCGGGUCAACCUGGUGAGCGGCACUGCGAUCUUGGAGAAAUCCUUGAUAAAUCUCCGAUAAUACCCUGCUAAUCCAAGGAAGCUCCUGAUCUCAGAGGGUGACUUUGGCACCUCCCAACCCAUCACCGCCUCAACCUUGGCCGGAUCGACCAGAAUCCCUUCCUGGUUAACGAGAUGUCCUAGGAACUGGACCUCCCGUAACCAGAAAUCACACUUGGAGAACUUUGCAUAAAGCUUCUCCGAUCUCAGUACCCCAAGGACCUCCCUCAAAUGUUCCUCAUGCUGCUCCCUAGAUCUCGAAUACACCAGAAUAUCAUCGAUAAAUACAAUCACCGACCGAUCCAACAUCGGCCUACAUACCCUGUUCAUGAGAUCCAUGAACACCGCCGGGGCAUUGGUGAGCCCAAAAGGCAUCACCACAAACUCAUAAUGCCCAUAACGCGUCCUGAAAGCUGUCUUCUGGACGUCCUCAUCUCGCACCCUCACCUGAUGAUAUCCCGACCUCAAAUCGAUCUUGGAAAACCAAGAUGCUCCCUGCAACUGAUCAAAUAAAUCGUCGAUCCUCGGCAACGGGUAACGGUUCUUGACCGUCAGCUUGUUCAACUCCCGGUAAUCAAUACACAUCCGGUGUGAACCAUCCUUCUUCUUGACAAACAGAAUAGGUGCUCCCCACGGCGAGCUGCUCGGCCGAAUAAAUCCCUUCCCCAGCAACUCCUGAAGCUGCGAGGAUAACUCUUGCAUCUCUGGAGGUGCAAGACGAUAAGGCACCUUAGCUAUAGGCGCAGCCCCCGGAACCAAAUCAAUACCAAACUCUACUUGCCUCACAGGAGGUACUCCCGGCAGCUCCUCGGGAAAGACAUCUGGAAACUCACAUACCACCGGUACCUCCCCAACUGAACUCGGUCUCUCGGAAGUCGCUCGCGUAUCCAUCACAUACGCCACAAAACCCUUACAGCCCUGCUGCAGACACUGUCUCGCCCUGGCGGCCGAACAAAAGGCUGAUCCCGAACGGGUACCCUCACCGUACACCGAAAGAACUCCCCCACUAGGGUCUCGUAUAGUCACCAGCUGACGCUCACAGUCGAUAAUCGCGCCGAAUCGGCUCAACCAGUCCAUGCCCACAAUGACACAAACAUCACCCAUCGCAAUAGGAAUCAGAUCAAUCGGAAACUCAAUCCCGAAGAUCUCUAACACACAUCCCCGGAAAACCUCUGCGGCACAAAUCACUCUAUCAUCAGCUAUGGAGACUCUCAGAGGCCGACUCAGUGCCUCACGACUAGCACUGAUAUGCUGGCUAAAGGCCAAAGAUACAAAAGACCGACUCGCACCCGAGUCAAAUAACACUAAAGCAGGUACGGAAUUCACAAGAAAAGUACCUACACAUAACAUAAUAUAAGCAUAACAUCAUAUAUCAAAAUAAAUACACGAAAGGAAACAUACCAGCCACCACAUCGGGCGCGGCGCGGACCUCCUCCGCAGUCAACUGGAAAGCUCUCCCUCGAGCUCUCGGCGUCUCGGCCUUCACAGGCCGACUCUCUGUAACUCUGGUGGCGGCAGGAGCAGACCCCUGAGAUGCUCCGCGCAACUGCGGACACUCGGCCUUCCGGUGUCCGGUCUGGUUGCAGUGAAAGCACACUGCAAACCCCUUGGGGCAGUCCUUGGCCAUGUGCCCCUCCUUGCCACAUUUGUAGCAAGACCCUGCUCGGCAGACUCCGUCAUGACCCUUGCCGCACUUUCCGCAAGUGCGGCCCUUCUGGCUCCCUGGUCUGGGAUCAGCAGGCUUGGCCCGCUUGGCGGCCGGCUGCGACAACGCCGGUCGCCGAUCCCUCCCCUGAGACUCUGCCUCCUCCCUGGCCUGGGUCUCAAGCUCAAUCUCCCUCUUCCGGGCAUUUGCCUGAAGCUCGGCAAAUGUCCGGUACGAGGAGUUCGCAGCGAACUCCCGAAUAUCCCUCCUCAAGAUGCUCAAGUAGCGGCUCAUACGUGCCUGCUCAGUGGACACGUGCUCAGGGCAGAACAUCGCCCUCUCGUGGAACAUCCUCGUGAUCGCUGUAACAGACUCAGUACCCUGCUUGAGGGUCAGAAACUCCUGUGCUAAACGCUCCCUCUCCACCUGGGGAACGUACUCAUCCCGAAACAUAGUGGUGAACCUCUCCCAGGUCACCGCAGAAAGCUCAGCAGGCGAAUAAUGCGCUGUCACAAACUUCCACCAGUCCUUCGCUCCCAAGCGAAGCUGGUUCAGCGCGAACCGUACCUUCAAAUGCUCAGGAGACGAGCAAGUGAAGAAACACCCCUCAAUAUCAGAUAUCCACCUCAUAGCUGCCACCGGAUCCUGAGUACCAUCAAACUCUGGUGGUUUUGUGUUGCUGAACUCACGGAACAGCAACGCAUCCCCACCCUGCGGCCUCGCAGCAGCAAUCGCUGCGGUAGCUGCUGCAGCAGCAGCCUCAGAAAGAGCGGCAUAACGCUCAUCAAACGUCUCAAUCAAGGUGGUCUUUAUAGACCCAAACAUCUCCGGUAUCUCUGCCCUGAUGGCCGCAGCCACCUCCUCCUGAAUGAUCCGGCGGAUCUCCUCCUCACUGGUACCACUGCUCUCGGGCAUCAAACGUGUCCUCACCAUGAUCUACCUCUGAAAUACAACAUACGAUAAAUUAGAAUCCACACGAGUAUGCUCACACUCGACAACUCUUUUCUCCUUGAUUCUUGGCAUUCCAAAGAUUCUGACUUGGGCUGCACACCGCUCCGGUGCUUCCAGUAGUACGGGCCCAAUACUACUGUCCGCACCGCACCAGAAUACACUCCAAGUCCUUCUCUUUGGAUCCCAGGUCUCAAGUACUUUAUCAUGCAUAGACUACUCUCUAAUAGAUCUCUCAUAAGUCCCUUGCUGCUACCUACUCACUCUCAAGCAUCUCAUAGCAGCUCACCUCUCCCUAGGCUAAGGCAUCACACAUCAGGCCACUCUAGUCCUAAUAGCAAUACCUAGCCUACUCUAGCAUGCGGAUACAUCAUAUCAAUAUCAAUAUCACAUAAUAUAUAAAGGUAUUUUGGGAAAUCACCGUUCGGGCGCUGACUGAUCGUACACACAUCUCUUGCUCUGCGUUUUUCGAAAAUCUUUUACUCUUUUUGAAAAUACAUCUCAAAUCCUCAGUUUGAGUUCAAAUACGCCCGAAGGUGUACUCGAAUCCCUCAAACCAAGGCUCUGAUACCAACUUGUAACACCGAAAAUUUUAAAAUUUAUUUUUCACAAUUUAUAAAAACAUUUCUCUUUUAAUUUCAUAAAACAUCAAGUUUCAAAUUCCAAUAUGUAUCAUACAAAUCCCAAGAUCACAUAAUUAUAUCGAAUUCCUCUACGUGUGUACAGAUCAAGCCGGCGCCUUCCCACGGUCAUCGCUAGUACCUGAAACAACAACACUAACACUGUAAGCACAAAGCUUAGUGAGUUCCCCAAAAUACCACACAUAAAACACAUAUUAGCCACUCGAGGCCAUAACUCUAUGGGUCCGUGCACCCAACUCUGUGAACCCUCAGGUUCUAACUCUAUGAACCUUCCGGUUCCAACUCUAUAAACAUGCACAGCAUAGAUCACAUAGAAAUAAUGCAGUACAACACAUAACAUGCACAUAACAUACAUACACUAACACAUAACUCUGAUUACCGACUCAAGGUAAAGUAUAGUGAGAAGACUCACCUCGCGUGUCUCGGUAUCUCACGAUCCCUGGAAAUCCCUCGUGCUCGAUCCUCCGAGCUCUAAUCCUCCUAUAACAUCACAAGACUCUAAUUAACACUUUUAUCUCUGAGGUUGACUAUCCCUAGGAAGUCAACACAGGUCAACGGUCAACGGUCAACUUUGACCGGACUCGGCGAGUGCACACGGCAACUCGGCGAGUCUAGACGUUCUCAUCAACUCUCUAGGAUUCCCUUUCUACACGUCGAGUACUCCCCCCUGACUCGACGAGUUCCACCUGGAAGAAUCGCGGGACCACCCCGACUCAACUCGCCGAGUCUCAAGAACGACUCGGCGAGUCCCAGCUCGACUCAGACCACAUGACAAUCCUCUCUAACUCGCCCUGACUCACUGGGUCAACUCCUGACUCGUCUGGACCACUCACUGGCCGGUCCAAGGCAAUCUUCAAGCUACUCGCCGAGUCUGCUCAUCGGACUCGGCGAGUCCAUUCCAUGCAAUCACCCAAACUUGCUUCUAAGGUCAGAUCUACUCCAACAAUUCAUAGAUCUGGCCCUCCUAGACUGAUUCAUCACGUAAAGUUCUAGUCUUGAUGCAUGAACAACCUCUAUAUGACUAAUUAUGAAGAAUCUUCAACAAAUCUCACUACACAAGGUCAUGGACUCCAUUGUUCUCUAUAAAGCUUGAAGAAUGAGGCUCUCUGGACCUCUAUGGAUCCAGAUCCGAAGUCUCAUCACUAGCAUGGGACUAUUUGGCCAUCAAAUCAACUCAACAAGGCCACAAGAAACCCUAGAAUCGAUUAUACUUCUCAAAACAGGAGAUGGGUCGAAAUUAUACCUUUAGAUUGAAGGGUCAAGCUUCCAAUCCACCAAAUAGCAGUCCCCUUUGCCUCCUCUUGUCUAGAGCCUCCUUCUUCUUUGCUAAACAACACACAAAUGUCAAGAAAUGCCUUCUUUCACUCUCAAAUCGCUAAAACACCUUUAGGGUAUCUCUCUAUGGACUGAUGGAUGCAAUGACGGCCAUAAGGCCAUUUAAAUAGGUCCCAAACCCGAGAAAUUAGGGUUUCAUUAAACAGCGUGGACUCGCCGAGUCCAUAUCCUGGACUCGCCGAGUCCGAACGAAUCCCGUGUCCAGAAUCGCGACCCUACUCGGCGAGUCUGAGCUCCAACUCGCCGAGUCCCUUCUCAAAACUCAAAAUAUUAAAACAAUAAAAUACCUGGAGAUCCNCUUGAGUUUCCUUCUUCUAGAUUCAUUCUUGGUUGCUAUUUUGGGGAUUAUGGCUUGGGUGGAAUCAAUUUCGAGUUUAGAAGCUAGAUCUAAAGUUGAAACUUCAGAUCCAAACUUGUAAUGAUCCUAUUUGUUGUAAAGGUGCUGUCCUAGAGUGGUUGGUGAAGUCCCUUUGCCUUAAGCCUUAGCCCUAGAGUAUUUUGGGCUUAUUUACCCAUGGUUUCACGUAAAGUUUGCACCUUUACGUGUGGGGAAGGUUGUAGGAGGUUGGAUCUAUGGAUUGGAGUCACUGCAUGGCUUGAAAGCCACUGUAUGGGUUAAGAACUAGAGGUACUCGGCGAGUCACAUGGGUGUACUCGGCGAGUUGGAUGAAGAAAGGCAGGAACUCGACGAGUUGGAAGAACAACUCGGCAAGUCUGUUGAAGAUUGCCUUGGACUCGGCGAGUCUGUUCUUGGACUCGGCGAGUCUAGUCACGAAGUCCUAACCGUUUUGGUUGAUCUGUGAACCGGUGAGUCGAGGGACGAAUCGAUGAGUUGAGCAGGAGGUGACUUAGAGUUCGUGGGACUCAGCGAGUCUUGGGGCGACUCGGCGAGUUGGGUCGCGAUAUGGGAGUUUUCAGAGAAUAGGGACUCGACGAGUCAACGGGCUGACUCGGCGAGUAGAAUCAGUCAGGCAGGUUAACUUUGACUGAGGACUUUGUCUUUGACCAAGAGUUGACCAGUUGACUUCCAGGGGUAAGUUGGUAAUUAUUGGUAUUUAUUGAGUUCAGUCUUUUGGUAUUAUCAGUGGUGGAGUUCGUGUCGGAGGUUGGAGCAUCGUGAUCUUAUCUUUUCAGUCAGCAGUGGCGAGGUGAGUUAUCCUCACUAUAUCGACAGGGUCUAAGGCACCAAGGCCGACCCUUUAACGGAUUGUAAUUCGGGUAUUGUUGUUAUGUUAUUGCUUUGCUAUGUUUGCAUCCUGGUAGUUAGGAUGGUGUAUGUUAGAAACCUGGUUAAGGUCGGUAUCCUGGUAUAUAGGAUGAUGCUAUGCUAGAGACCGGUUAGGUCGGUAUCCUGGUUAGGAUGAUGUUAUGUUAUGUGAUCUGCUAGAUCGGUUUGAUUGGAUGUGGAUUGUUAUAUGAUUAUAUGUUAUGUGCACAUGGUUGUCAGAUUGGGGUUGGGUUGAGGCGGGUCCUGCUUUGUGCUGUAGGCCAACAUACCCAAGGCGGACCGGUUAACCCGAAGGCCCAACGAGCGGUCCGGAUAGGCUGUAGGCCCCAAGAGGGCGGACCAGACGUGCUGAGGCUCGGGGAGUGGACCGGUGCGACUGAAGGCCCGGUGCGGGCGGACAAGUCAUACUAUAGACUCAGAGAGUGGACCAGGUGGAUUGAAGGCCCGAUGCGGGCGGACCAAUCACACUGUAGACUCGAUAUAUAUGGUUAGACUCGGAGGGUGGACCAGGUGGACUGAAGGCCCGGUACGACGGACCAGUCACACAGUAGACCCGAAGUGCAUGGUUGUUCUGUUCUGUUAUGAUAUGUUAUGUGUAUGGUUUAUGUGGUUGGUAUUUUGGGGGUAUCUCACUAAGCUUUCGGGCUUAUAGUUGUGGUUUAAUGUUUUUCAGGUACUUCAGGAGACCAUGGCAAGGCGAAGGCGUGAUCGUACCGCUCCUCAUGUUCUUGUUUUAUGAUAUGGUUCUGGGAAUACUCUGAUAAUAAAUGUAUUGAAAACCUUUUUGUAAUGACUUAACGAAACUGGUUGUUUUUGAAAAGUUUAAAUUGGCUUGAAUUUUUAGAGUGUUACACUUUCAUUGUAAUGUCGAGGGCUAAAUCCUGGUUUUACAUUCAAAUGUCAUUGGCCACCCCAUGGUCUUUCCUUACAAUGUCGAUGGCCAAAUCCGGUCUUACAUACAAGAGCCAUGAGCUACCCCCCCUUUUCACCUAUGGUCUUUCAAAUUAUUACCAUGGACUACCCCCAAUGUCUUUCACGCAAGUAUCAUAAAGAUAAAUAGAAUCCUACAAUACAAAUACUAGUGGGUUGACAUUCGCGCCUUCGACCCACGAGUAUAGUGAGAAGAUUCACCUGAACUAGUCAACAGAAGCCCAUCAGCUACCUCAACAUCAGAACAACCAACCCGAACUUCCUAAAACCAAACCGAGACCAAUCCUUAGUCAAAUACUCUAUUCUACCCAAGUUUGACUAACGUCAAAUUGGUCAAAAAAAUCAACGAUCAAUUUCCACAAGGUCAACGGUCAACUUAUUUAACGUCAACGUCACGUCGUGACCAUUCCUUGAUCACGUCGUGAGAAUGCAACGAUAAACAAUCAUGAUUCUGGACACCGUUACAUUAUCACACAACCUAUGUUACGUCGUGACUUCUGGUUAAAAUGUCAAAAAUCUUCAUUAAGUGGUUAAUCACUUCAAACCAAGGUCCAUAACCUCAAAUCUAAUUCAUAAAUAGCUUCAGAAUGGAUAAAGUUUCCAACUUUAUCCAUUAGGAUGGUUCAAACAACCAAGAUCUAAUCUUUAAGUGUCAAAGGGACCAAGAAUGCAUCUUUCUCAGCUAAAUCCAGUAAGUCCAAAUCUCCAACGUUCAGAUAUAAAUCAACAUAAUGUUUAUAUGGAUAAGUUUCCAACAUUAUCCAUAAUAAUGUCUCAAGCUUCCAAGAUCUAAACUUCAAUACACCAAAAUGGCCUAAAUGACCAAAAUAUGGCUAAAAGGGAAGGCAAAAUGUCAAAACUUUCCUGGUCUAUGAGGUCCAAGAAAACAUUCUAAACUUGAUCAAAAGGUGUUGGAGUCUAGAUCUGAAACAUACAAUGUUCUUGGGGCCUUGGAGAGUAAUAAAGUUGCAAACUUUAUUCCCAACUCUCACUUAAAACUUAUUGAAUUGGACCAAAACACCAAAUAAACUAAGAUCCAAAUAUGAAAUGUAAUCAAGCUUGUAACUUUAUAACUUACAAAGGUCUAAAAGGUAGAUGAAAGUUUAGAUCUUCAAUUGCCAAGCUUCAAGGAUCAAUCUUGCAUGAAAACAUUGCUCUAAAACCAUCAAAAACUCCAAAAAUGGAUGAAAGAGGAGAGGGGAGGUUCAAAUCUUGAAAUGAAGGCUAUGGUUUCUCCUAAGAGGUUUUAAAUAUGAUGGAGGCUAAUAAAAUACCCUAAAACAUGUAUCCUUACCUUUAAAUACCUUGAAAACCCUAAAAAUUCUAUGGGCUUUUGGGCUGCACAGUUCUUAUAUCGUGAAAAUACAUUCUCACCUCAUGAGCACUUCUUACGUCGUGAGAAUUACUUCUCACCUUGUGAGAAUGAGUUUUCGCCCAAUUUCACUCCAACUUCAAACAAUCAUAACUUCUUCGUUUCAACUCUGUUUUUGGCGAUCUUUAUAUCCACAUAAAGGUAUUAACGAGCCACACACUUCUAUCUACUUAAUUUUGGUUUAGNACACAUAUAUAUAUAUAUAUAUAUAUAUAUAUAUAUAUAUAUAUAUAUAGAGAGAGAGAGAGAGAGAGAGUUAAUUUUGGCUUAACACAAGUCAAAUUAAAAACCAUAAUUCAUGAAAGAAGUCUAAAACAUCACUUGUCCCAUUUUACCCUUUGACUCCAAGACACAAAACAAUGCUUUAAUCACUUAUCAAACAUUGUCAUCGUCUAAUAAGGUCUAAACUGAUGGGUUUUGAGCAAAACAUACAAUCCUAUGUGAAACAUCCCAAAAAUCAAGGUUAAAAAAUUUUAUUUUUUUAUUAUAUUCAAAACAGUUUUGUAACUUGUUAAAAACAUUGGAAAGAAUUUCAAAUAAAGCAAUUAUUAGAGUUCAAUCCCAAAGAUCACAUUUUGCGGAAACCACGGGUGUAUGCGUUGCAAUCGUCCCGAGCUCUUCAUUUGAAAACUGGAGUACUUGAAGCAUAAACUGAAAACCAUAAGCACAAAGCUUAGUGAGUUCCCCAAAUACCACAUACCAUACAAUAAACAUAUAGGGGGCCCGCCCGUCAUCAAACCCCGUCCGACAUCGAGCCCCACCUGGAUACUACCGAGCAUAUCUGGGUGAUGGCCUCCUCUUCGGUCUAUUUCAAUUGGAUACUGCUAAGCAUAUCUGGUUGUUGGCCUCCCUUUCGGUCUAUUUCAAUGGAAUACUGGUGUAUUUCACCCCCUCCCACUACCACAUAAUAACAUACAUAAUUAAUCAUAGAAACACCAACAAAUAGUGGCAAACCAGACAAUUAUCACAAAGACAAUCAUCUUACUAUAAGCAUCAACUAGUGGGCCAGUAUUGGUGCCUUCAACCCCCUAAUUCUGUGAAGGGAGACUCACCUUAAAUGCAUAAGCUUCCUGAAGGAAUUCCCCAGCUGCUUCCCUAACGACACCUCCGAACUAACAUAUCAAAAAUAACACCCAAUUAGCAAUUGGGUUCCUAUUCAUAACCAUAACUUCAUACCUAGGGUAAAAACACCAUUUUACCCCUAUCCUAGCCUUGUCCAAAAAUAUGAUCCAAACUACAAUCUGAAAGGCCCAAAGGCCCACUGAUCAACCAUUGUCCCAAUUUUCCAAAUUGGCCCCAAACCCCAUACAUCGCCUUGCCUUAAGGCCCAACCAUUCUUUCUAUUCCAAACACUUUGCAUCCCAAUAGCCCAAAAUAACUCAAGCCCAACAUGCUAGAAACUACUAGGUCCAUAAAAGCCCACUAAUGGCCCAAUUUUCCAAAUUGGGCCCAACCCCACAUGGGCCUUAUCCUAUGCCCAUAAUUUCCUUAAACACAAUUCAAAUUACCUCAAACACCUCUUGGGACAACUUGGUCAAAGGCAUAAGUCAAAAGUCAAAGUCAACGCUCCGAGUUGACUCAACUCGUCGAGUUGUCCCUCAACUUGCCGAGUUCCCCACAUUAUUCAACAGAAUCGUGAAAAGUCAAUCCAACUCGCCGAGUUCACCCAUGAACUCGCCGAGUUCUUCAGUCAGUAAAACCUCUUAAUCCAUUAAGCCGCCGUUCUUGAAACUAAAGGCUCCACCAUUCAGAUCUCAACCGAAAUAGUAUCUAGAAGGGUAAAGUUUCCAACUUUACCCAUGAGAACCAUCAAAAUGGGUUCAAAACCCAAACCAUAAGCUUAAAAGGUUAAGGGCUUAGACAAUAACCACUUAAUCAUCAAGACAAGGCUUCAAAAUGCAGAUCUGGUCCCUUAAGACUGAAAUGACACGCAAAGUCUCCAACUAUACUCUCAUGCAUGGCCAAGAGAAGCUCAACAGCUUAAAAGAAGCCAUGAAAAGAACUUAAUGGAUGCAUAGAGACCUUAAGACCAUAAAGUUGGCACCUUUAUGCCAAAAGAGCUUAUUAAGAUCAUGGAUCCGAAAGAAUAACUCUUUUGGGACAUCCUAUACCCCAUCAAUCACUCAAACUUGGCUAAAACAUGCAAACUAUCCCCAAAAAGAGAUCUAAAUGAUUACUAAGCAAGGCCAUAGCUUUAUACCCGAAAUAUGCUGGAAAAGGAGCAAAGAGUCCAGAUCUGAAAGAUCCUACUUGAAACCUUGCACCAAACUCCUCUUCCUUCAAUGAGCUUUAAACACACCAACAUACACUCACAAUACUCAAUAAGCCUCUAGGGUCUCGAGAUUAAGGUUAGGGAGUUUGGAGGCUGGAAAUGAGUUCAACACCUGGAACUUAAGGUUUUUAAAUAGGUUGGAAAAACCCAAAAUUAGGGUUUCUCCAACAGCGUCCAAGUCGUCGAGUUGGCUCCUCUAACUCGCCGAGUUGCCUCAUUAAACCUCGCGACCAAAACAACUUCUACUCACCGAGUUGAGGCUCCUCAACUCGUUGAGUAAACCCAUUAAAUCCCCACGAUUCUUCAUCUUCAAAUCGUCAAGUUGGCUCCUCCAACUCUCCGAGUUCAACUUGAAAAUUGGCAAAAUUCCACAAUUUAACCUUCUAGAUCCGGGUGUUACAACUCUCCCCCACUCAAAUUAGAUUUCGUCCUUGAAAUCGCUCCUUAUCAACACGCAUAUCAAAACAACCAACCUGAUGAUCAUAACUGGAAAUUUUGCGCCCAAAUUAAUCUUCCCAAGGCAACCGAAACGCAAACCAAAACUUCCGACCCUAAAACAGCAUUCAAACCUUCAGCCCCUACAAACCACUUCUACCUUUCUAAGUCCUGAAAUCUAUAAUGGUCUGACUCCCAGACAGACCGCCCACAGUGAAACAACUCCAUGCUAAACUCUCAACGAAUAGCAGGCCAAACCUAACAUUUCCAACUUUAUUCGUACAACGGCUUAUCCAAAUCUACUGAAACCAUCUUAAAAUAGUUCUUCAAGCCUGAUGAAAAAUGAAUCCUCAAUCUUUGAAUAAAACCAAUCCUACCUCGCCUGAAUUCCGAAACCUAAAGUCUCAAUGGUCUGAAUCCCUGUCAGAUCUCUCACACCGAACCGAUACCAUGCCAACCUCAUAGAGAUUCAAAACAACAAAAGCUUCCAAGGAAACAAGCUCACCGACCAUAUAUAGCUAUAGAACACUUGUACUCAACAGAAGGCUCGGAUAAUCCUUUGAGUAGAAGAUCCAUCCCUGCAACGGUUAGACUCAGACGAGAGUUGCGCAACAGGGCCGAAUCAAUUACUAUGAGAUUAUUUAAUCCUAAUGUAAGUGACUUACACUUCCCAAUCAACCAGAUACAUUUCCACACAUGGAAUCCCAAAUCAUUAGCAUUGCCCGAAACACUGGUCUACCAGAGACACUGAUAUUGCCUUUCAAAAUCCACCGAGACCUCCCUGGUCCCAACUCAUCUGCCAAUUGUCUGAAAUUAUCGGGUUCUUGCCCGAUUGUUGAGCCAAGAGACUCCUGCACCGUCGCCCAUCGUGACUUCCGAAGGAAAGCCUCACUUGCAAUAACUACCCAAACCAUCCCGACAUCAACCUGAUGUUAAUCUGAAUGCUACAGGUCCAACUGUAAUCUUACUUCAUACCUAAUCUUCCAUGUCGUACCACUUCCUGGUUUCAUACAUGUUGUAGUCUUCUCAUAGCCUUACUAAUUGACCCAUCUUGAGCUAACUACCGAAGAAAUCUUUGACCAAUCAAAUAAUGAAACCUAUCAGAAAAUAUGGAACCCCUUACUAGCCUGACCCUACACAUAUCAGGCCACACUCAAGCACAGGAUCCUUACCUGCCAAUAAAUUGAAACCAUUUAUUACCUCUGAACCCUUCCAUAGAUGCCAUCGGCACAUUGAUACCUUAUUCUAAGACUUCCAGAACAUAAAACCUUACACGUAGACACCCGCAAUUCCCAAUUUGAAUUCUCAGUAGGAACCAAUUUGGUACCCAUCUCAUAAUCCGAGAAUCAAAUAUCUACACUUGAGGUUCUCUCAAAAUCCUAUGAUUCAAGACACCUCUCCCAAGAUCAGAAGGUAAAAGGUUCCCAACCCAUCGCUGAGACUACCAGCCUCGCACCUGAUCCAACCACUAGUUCCUCAAGAGUCCAAAUAACAAGGCUACCCAGCCUAUAAACCCUUCUACGCCACAUACUGACCACACACUAAAUCCUGCAACUCAAUAUUCAAAACCUUGACCUAACGGUCUCUACCAAAUCCAACAUACAUUGCCAUAAUUACAUGUGCCUUGCCCACGGGGAUACAAAACCCAUCCUAGUUUCAUAUCCGUUCCUGCGCCUGAAUACCUGAAUGAUUCUCCCCCACUUUGAUUCGACUAAGUCCUCGCAUCAUCCUAGAAUUGAAGGAUUCCCAAUCCAUCUUAACCUCCAAUGAUCGAUCUACCAACAACUGGCGCCUACCACAACUAGAGAUCCAACGUUAUCCAUCCUAAGUACCACACAACCCCAGAAGACCAACUGAACACUUCCCCAAUCCCAACAAUACUGAUAACCUUGAAUACUAUAAAAUGAUACCACGCUCAAAUCCUAACGUCAACUGUAGUCCUGUCUCAUCGCGGGGUUACUCUCGACACUUGUAGUUCCAACUCAUUAUUGAUGGAAUUGAAUAUGCAAAUCAUAUUCUAGUGGAAUGUCCUUAUGCGAAGUCAGCCACGAAGCCAUACUUAACUGGGGCGGAAUCGAUUAAAUCAAUUUCCAUAAUGUAGAAGAUAUUACUUGUUUUGCAGCCAAUUGGGAGAGAUGCCCUGAGAAGAAAAGAACGCCUAACAACCAUAUGCUAGGGGAUACUUUGGUGUAUAUGGAGAGCUAGAGAUGAUAGGAUAUUCCAAUCAAAAUUUAUUACUCCAAAAUGUGUGGUGGAUGGCAUCAAAGCUUUAGUGCAAUUGUGGGUAUAAUGCAGAGGCAAAUGUGGUAUAUCUAACUGGGAAGAGUUGUUCUUUUAUCCUUUUUCGUCUUAGUCUUAAAUUUUCUUUGUAAUAUGUAAUAUUUUAACCGGAUGCUCUUUUUCCCCUAUAGUUUCUUACUAUUUGGGUGAAUUUUUAUAAUAUUGGUCGUUUCUAAAAAAUACUAUUAGCGACACAUUAGAAGUAUAUAUAUUAUACUUGUAAUCAAUGACAUCCUUCACUAACCAUUGCCAUCAUCCAUUCUCCCUGCCCGUAAAACUCAAUGAACUACUUCUGCUUAUACACAACAUCGUCGAUGAUCUCCCUCUCCAUACCCCAAACACAAUAAUAAAAUUGAUGUUCCCCAUCUUUUGCACACGAUACUCACAACCCCUUAUUUUCUACCUAACCUUACAAAAAAAAACUUUCAUUUUCAUGUCAAAAUAAAGUCAUCCAAUCACCAAUAUGACAACAAAUUAAAAUUUAUUGCCUAAUAAAUUUAUUUUAGGGAAAAUGACUUAAAAUUCUAACGAAAUUUUCAAACCUUUCAAAAAACCUCAAUUAUGUUUUGUUUGUCCAUAAAAAUCCAACAAACUUAACAUUUUAUCUAAAAAGUCCAACAAAGUUCCAAACCGUUCAAAAAAUCCAAAUUUUGUUUUGUUUAAGUUCAUUGGGUUUUUUUUGAACAGUCAAAACAUGAUUGAAAUUUUUUAAACGGUUUAAAAACUUCCUUGGAUCCGUAAGUUAUUUUUCCAUUUAUUUGAAGAGAAAUGUUGCUUACUCAAACCAAAAAUUAAUUAUUAUUAUGACAUUCCACAUGAAAACGGAGAAGACGGUAGGAAGGGACGGCGUCUGAUUCACCUGUCACAAAAACCGGACGGUUUCAACUAGUGAAGGCUCUCUCUCUCCAGUCUCCCCCUACCCCCACCAGCGCCAAACCCACAUACGCCACCUUCUCUUUCUUUAAAACUCUCUCCUCCGUUAACGCUUCUUCCUCAUCUAUCUCUUCAUCUCUUUUUCUUUUUCUCUCUACCAUAAAUCAAUCUUGCUGUUCUCCAAUCAGAUGCGUUGUCUUCACAGGUACCGUUCGAUCCUAUCCCUAAUCUCUUCUCAGUAUCUUGACUUUUCUAGGGUUAGGAUUUCUUCCAUCGUACCCUUAUAAAAUCAAAUCAACUACACAUAUCUGACAAUCUAACACGAUUAUUUCGUAAAUCGGUUGAGAAUAAAAUGCAUCCGAGGUGGUUUAAUUGCUUUCGAUGCGCUAUUAUUCAUAUUGGUUACGAUGUGGACUGAUUUGGGUGGAUUUAGGAUACUUUUUAUUGAUUUCAUUAGGGUUUUCGAGUAGGAUUGCAUGAGGUUUUUUGCUCAUGCCGUUAAGUGUUGAUUCUGGUGAUAUGAUAAUGCCGGCAAAAGAGAAAAUGAAUGGUGUUGGUGUUUUAACAACCUUAUCCAUGGACUGCAAUCAUUUCUUGUCCAUGGAUUCAAGUUUGUUCGAUCCGGCUGCGGUAGAUCUGAGUCUACCGCCCGAUAUCAAUCUCCCACUCUCGGCGGAGCCAAGCCCUCCGCCACCUGGGUCGAUUGAUUCAUGUGACAUGCUAGAACCCGGUUUAGGUUCUCAACAUUACCAAAGUGAAACACAUAUAAAUGUCACAAAAUCUGGGAAGAAGACCGCUAAGCGACUAGAUAGCAUGUGGGGGGCUUGGUUUUUCUUUAAUUUCUACUUCAAACCGGUUUUAAACGAGAAGUCAAAGAACAAGAACAUGGAUAAUAACGGACACGAUAUUGAUAAAUCACAGCUGAAGUUAGAUGUUUUCUUGGUUCAACAUGACAUGGAGAAUAUGUAUAUGUGGGCUUUUAAAGAAAGGCCCGAGAACGCAUUGGGGAAAAUGCAACUGAGAAGCUAUAUGAAUGGGCAUUCACGACAAGGGGAAAAGCCCUUUCCGUUUUGUGCUGAUAAGGGUUUCGUUAGAUCUCAUCGAAUGCAAAGGAAACAAUAUAGGGGACUCUCGAAUCCUCAAUGUGUUCAUGGGAUUGAAGUUGUUAGAUCACCUAAUUUGAUGGUAUUGGAAGAGGAAGAAAGAAGAAGAUGGAUGGAACUUACGGGAAGAGAUUUAAACUUUUCAAUUACUCUUGAAGCAUGUGAUUUCAGUUCUUGGAGGAACCUUCCAAGUACCGAUUUCGAAAUUGAACGCCCUCUCAUUCCAAAAGAUACAGCUAAUCAUCAUCAUCAACAACAAGAACCAAAGCGAUUGCUUUCUGGUACUGGUACUGGUACUGGUACUGGUACUGGUGAUACUAUUACUAGUGUGCCAGAUCUUUUGGCGGGUUGUAAUGGUAAACGUCGGAAGAGCAACUCGCCACGUGGCAAUCAUGAUGAAGAAAGUUCGGAUUCGGUUCUUGAUGUUCAUCAAGUGGAUCCGCAUUGGGCGAGUGAAAUUUCUGGGGUGUUAAGAAGUGCUUAUGGGCCUGUAACGGCUGCGAAGACUAUUUAUGAAGAUGAAGAGGGAUUCUUGAUUAUUGUAAGUUUGCCAUGUGUAGAUCUUCAAAGGGUAAAAGUUACAUGGAGGAAUACAAUUUCACAAGGUGUUGUGAAGAUUUGUUGUGUGAGCACCGGGUGUACACCGGUGUUGAAAAGAGAAAACAGGACAUUUAAGUUGAGUGAUCCGGCACCUGAGCACUGCCCUCCUGGGGAAUUUGUGAGGGAGAUUCUGCUUCCGACUCUGAUUCCUGAAGAUGCAAAGUUGGAAGCUUACAGGGACGAAACAGGAACUAUGCUUGAGAUAAUGGUGCCUAAGCAUCGUGUAGGACCUGAAGAACAUGAGGUUCAUGUCUGUCUUCGUUCAUCUCCAAGUGUUCUUAUGUUAACUUAGUGAAAACUGGAGUCCAUGUUUGAUGCUUCAUUGAUUUCGCUAAUCUUUAUUUAACUCAUGG